GUUCAAAUGGGCAGAUAAAAGGUUCAAGUUAUUUCAAGCUGACAUUUAUAGGCAAGAGGAAUUUGAGGAGGCUAUUCAAGGCUGUGAAUUUGUUUUCCAUGUUGCCACCCCUUUGUUGCAUUCUGAAGGAUUUCAGACUAGGGUACGAUUCUGCUCCUCUCUCUUCCUCCAUCUCUGCGUCAACAUCAUCAUCAUCAUCUUUCUCCUACAAUCUUUCACCAAAUAGCUUGCCACGGGAUCCGCUAAUGCCAUGAUUGCUCGGGAUUACGACGAUAAUCCCUCUCCUGGAAAUAACCACCCAAACCGUCAGAAUAAUAGUGGUAAAAGGCAUCAAAACCGCAGCAACAAUGGUGGAAAGAACUGUGGCAGAUGCGGUGGCAAUAGGGGCAGCAACAACCGAAACAGUGGUGGUUUCGGUGGUGGACGCGGCAGCUGGCAACAGCACCACGACCAGCAGCAAUAGUGGCAGCAGCCUUGGAUGGGGAAUGGACAACAAUGGCAGUGGCCCUACAUGUCGUGGCCUGUGCCUCCUUGUCCGUAUCCAACUACUCCACGGCCACGGACCAACACUCAACAGAGGCAGGCUGGUAUACUUGGGCCACGUCCACUACAAGCUUACGCUACCGACGUUCAACCUACUCCAACCGACAUCGAGGCAGCGAUGCACACACUUGGGCUCACUCCGCCGGAUGCAAAUUGGUACAUGGAUACCGCAGCCACUUCUCAUAUGACAUCCGUGCAAGGAUUACCAGACGGGGAUGCGUCUAAUGAGAUGUGAUAGUCAGGGGGAGCUUUAUCCCAUCACCACCACACCACCAUCGUCUUUUGCAGCUUUAACUUCAUCUAUGUGGCAUGAUCGCUUAGGUCAUCCGGGAGCACCUGUUUUCGACUCCCUUAGGCAAAAUAAAUUUAUUAAAUGUAAUGGACCGAUUAAGUCUCAUGUUUGUCAUUCCUGCACUCUUGGAAAACAGACUAAAUUGCCAUUUGUUGCAUCUCAUUCACAAACAUGUAUGCCAUUUGAUAUUAUCUAUAGUGAUCUUUGGACAUCUCCCGUUUUGAGCUAUUCGGGCCACAAAUAUUAUG